UAUUAGGUUGGUGCAAAAAUAAUUGCUAUUACCAUAAUGGCAAAAGCUGCAGUUACUUUUGCACUAGCCUA
rnacentral:miRNA from 1 species